AAGUCGUAACAAGGUUUCCGUAGGUGAACCUGCGGAAGGAUCAUUAUCAAUAUUAUAACGUGCCAGGACGCAAGUUCUGGGGCGGCAUAAUUACCGUGUUUAACAUACCUUUGUUGCUUUGGCGGGGCGCCUUUUGGCCAGCGGCUCCGGUCGCUGCGUACCCGCCAGAGGACCACAACUCUUGUCUUUAGUGAUGUCUGAGUACUAUAUAAUAGUUAAAA
rnacentral:misc_RNA from 1 species